rnacentral:lncRNA from 1 species
UCCUGUAUGCCUGUCUUGCUCAUUGUUCUUUACGCCUUCGCACGUAGGGUAGCUGUUAUGUUGGUAAGUAUCCUGCACCGGGCUAUCUGGCGACUCGCGAGGAUACCAGGGUAAAUCAGGCGAACUCAAGACAAAGGGCGCCGAUCAAGCCCCUCGCAACCUCUUGCCAACCAAGAGCUACUCCCGGCAAAACGGACUCCCAGCUAAAGCCUCGCCAACUGCGGGAGGCCGAGAUAAAACCACCUUUCCUACUGACCUACGGACCUCGCGAACCCAACUAGAAUUCCCCCGCCCACCGACAAGCAACAGAACCCACUAUUCAGGUGCCUCUACUCACGGCCGAACCAACCCAACCACCCGCGCAGUGCCCGCGCGCUUCACUUACUUGCAUGGAUGCCGUUGGCCCGCAAUGUCGAUCUGCGCGUCGCCGUUGUUGUUGUCUUCUCAUAUAUAAGAGACGGCGUUCUAUUGUAGGCAAAACCAAAGAUAAAGGCAAUCUAACAUCACUCGUCAAGCGAUUUCGACCUCGACUUUUUCUAGUCUUUCUCGUCGUCUAUUUUCUGUAAUCCGUCUUAAUAAAGCUUAGUUGGUACCUGUUGUCUGACUCUGCAUUCUGUGCUGGAAUGGCCAAAACUCGGACUGUCUCGUCCUGGUGUGAUAUCCGUGGUUGGCAUAGGGCCCUCCGUACUUCUGUAUUUGGC